rnacentral:rRNA from 1 species
UACGUAGGGGGCGAGCGUUGUCCGGAUUCAUUGGGCGUAAAGAGCUCGUAGGCGGCUUCGUAAGUCAGGUGUGAAACCUCCAGGCUCAACCUGGAGCCGCCACCUGAUACUGCGAUGGCUAGAGUCCGGUAGGGGAUCACGGAAUUCCUGGUGUAGCGGUGAAAUGCGCCAGAUAUCAGGAAGAACACCCGCUGGCGGAAAGGGCGGCUCCUCUGGGGACGGUACUGACGCUGAGACGCGAAAGCGUGGGGAGCGAACAGG